AAUGAACGCUGGCGGCGUGCCUAACACAUGCAAGUCGAACGAGAAAUUCGGCACUCAGGCAACUGAGUGCUGGAAAGUAAAGUGGCGCACGGGUGAGUAACGCGUGGGUAACCUGCCCUUGAACUUGGGAUAACCCCGCGAAAGCGGGACUAAUACCGGAAUCGUUUCGAGAACCAUGGUUUUCGGAAUGAAAGGUGACCUCUUCAUGAAAGUUGCUGUUCAGGGAGGGGCCCGCGUACCAUUAGCUUGUUGGUAGGGUAAUGGCCUACCAAGGCGACGAUGGUUAGCUGGUCUGAGAGGAUGAUCAGCCACACUGGAACUGAAACACGGUCCAGACUCCUAUGGGAGGCAGCAGUGAGGAAUUUUGCGCAAUGGGGGAAACCCUGACGCAGCAACGCCGCGUGAGUGAAGAAGGCCUUUGGGUCGUAAAGCUCUGUCAAGUGGGAAAAAAUUCUCUUGAUUAAUAGUCAAGAGAACUGAUGGUACCAUUGAAGGAAGCACCGGCUAACUCCGUGCCAGCAGCCGCGGUAAUACGGAGGGUGCAAGCGUUGUUCGGAAUUACUGGGCGUAAAGAGCGUGUAGGCGGUUUGGUAAGUCAGAUGUGAAAGCCCUGGGCUCAACCCAGGAAGUGCAUUUGAAACUGCCUUUCUUGAGUAUGGGAGAGGAGAGUGGAAUUCCCAGUGUAGAGGUGAAAUUCGUAGAUAUUGGGAGGAACACCCGUGGCGAAGGCGACUCUCUGGACCAAUACUGACGCUGAGACGCGAAAGCGUGGGGAGCAAACAGGAUUAGAUACCCUGGUAGUCCACGCCGUAAACGAUGAGAACUAGGUGUAGCGGGUAUUGACCCCUGCUGUGCCGAAGUUAACGCAUUAAGUUCUCCGCCUGGGGAGACGGCCGCAAGGCU
rnacentral:rRNA from 1 species